GACGAACGCUGGCGGCGUGCUUAACACAUGCAAGUCGAGCGGAAAGGCCCUUCGGGGUACUCGAGCGGCGAACGGGUGAGUAACACGUGAGUAACCUGCCCCAGACUUUGGGAUAACCCUCGGAAACGGGGGCUAAUACCGGAUACGACACAGCUUCGCAUGGGGUCUGUGUGGAAAGCUUUUCGGUUUGGGAUGGGCUCGCGGCCUAUCAGCUUGUUGGUGGGGUGAUGGCCUACCAAGGCGACGACGGGUAGCCGGCCUGAGAGGGCGACCGGCCACACUGGGACUGAGACACGGCCCAGACUCCUACGGGAGGCAGCAGUGGGGAAUAUUGCACAAUGGGCGGAAGCCUGAUGCAGCGACGCCGCGUGAGGGAUGACGGCCUUCGGGUUGUAAACCUCUUUCAGCAGGGACGAAGCGUAAGUGACGGUACCUGCAGAAGAAGCGCCGGCCAACUACGUG
rnacentral:rRNA from 1 species